rnacentral:rRNA from 1 species
GUGAGGAAUAUUGGUCAAUGGGCGAGAGCCUGAACCAGCCAAGUCGCGUGAAGGAAGACGGCCCUACGGGUUGUAAACUUCUUUUGCAAUGGAAUAAAAAGAGUUACGUGUAAUUCAUUGUAUGUACAUUGCGAAUAAGGAUCGGCUAACUCCGUGCCAGCAGCCGCGGUAAUACGGAGGAUCCGAGCGUUAUCCGGAUUUAUUGGGUUUAAAGGGUGCGUAGGCGGAUUGGAAAGUCAGCGGUGAAAGUUUGCAGCUUAACUGUAAAAUUGCCAUUGAAACUGUCAGUCUUGAGUGCAAAUGAGGUAGGCGGAAUGUGUUGUGUAGCGGUGAAAUGCAUAGAUAUAACACAGAACACCAAUUGCGAAGGCAGCUUACUGGGAUGCAACUGACGCUGAGGCACGAAAGCGUGGGGAUCAAACAGGAUUAGAAACCCUUGUAGUCC